rnacentral:rRNA from 1 species
UACAGAGGAGCCAAGCGUUGUCCGGAUUGACUGGGCGUAAAGCGCACGCAGGCGGAGGUGCGCGUGGGGUGUGAAAUCUGGCCGCUUAACGGCCAGGCGCCAUCCCAUACGGCACGUCUGGAGCCUUGCAGAGGUCGGUGAAAUUGCCGGUGUAGUGGUGAAAUGCGUAGAGAUCGGCAGGAACACCCAGGGGGAAACCAGCCGACUGGGCAAGCGCUGACGCUGAGGUGCGAGAGCGUGGGGAGCGAACCGG